AGGAGUUCCUGAUCAAGAGGCAAACACUCAGCGGGACAGAUGAAAAGCGUGCCUUAAUUACCUCUUUAAAGGACCUAUUUCCAAAUAUGGUCACAUUGGGGGCUAGGGCUUCAAUGUAUGGAUUUGGGUGGAGCAGGGCAUAAUUCAGUCCAUAACAGGGUCCACAGACCUCAUGUAAACACUGCUGCUGGGCAAAGGAGGCCAGCUGACUGUUGGGACCUGAAAGUGACAUGGUUAGAACUGCGUUUCAGAAGGACGCUUGUGGACCGUGUUGGUCUAUGAGUUCUAUCCUCAUCUGCCCCCCUGCCACAGGUUAGCAGGACGAGGCCAAGUGCCAUGAUCUGAACGUCCUGCCAGAUUCACAUGUUGAAGUUUAAUCACCACUGUGACAGUAUUAACAGGUGGGGCCUUCAGGGAAUGACUAAGUCAUGAGGGCAGAGCCCUCACGAUGGGAUUAGUGAUGUUAUGGAAAGGCGUGAGGGGCCAGUUCAUCCCAUCCACGGUGUGAAGACACAGCCUUCACGAUGGAGCAGCAACAAGGCAAUGUCUUGGAAGUGGAGACUGGGCCCUCACCAGACACCAAGCUUGAUGGUGCCUUGAGCUUGGACUUCUAAGCCUCCAGAAAUGUGGGAAAUACAUUUCUGUUGCUUAUAAAUCACUCAGUCUGUGGUAUGGUAUAUAGCAGCACAAGGGAACUAAGACACCAAAGCAAAGAGAAGGCUAACUUCUUGGCUUCUGGCUUCCCGAACAACUGUCCCAGCCCUGGGUGGCUGCACUGGUUGCAGAUGGUUCUACUGACUCCAUCCUCUUUGGUAUCUUUUUAGUAUGAUACCUGGAUUGUCUUUUGACCUUAGAAUCUCAGGAUUUGUCAUUUUUGUUUAGCCCAUGUGACACCUCCCUGGUUUGUGAUUAGGCUGUAAGCUCCUUCAUGGGUGGGCCUCUUUUGUGUCUUGUGUGUGUCCCAGUGCCUCGGGGGUCACAGAUGCUCAGGGAAUGCUUGCUGAGAGUGAAUAGUCUCCCAGUCAGUUCCAGGUGUUCUAGGCCUUGUCAACGGGCCACAGCCCAUGUCCUCGGGCAGGAGCAUCCUCCCUCUCCCCAGGCUUCUGCUGGAAAGGAGCCCUCCUUCUCUUCCUUGCAGUAGGUGGGCAGACAGGCUCCCUGGUGGGUGCAGAACACACUCUGCUAGGACUUUUUGGCAUUUACUUAAGACAUGGGCUUGGCUUUGUGCAUUCCGACAGGCUCUGGACCCAGAGCCCAGCCCCAUGAGAAAGAUGGUAAUUUUCCCACAGCUGAGGGCUGGGGAAGGAAAGGCAGGUAGGCCAGCUGGAGGAUGGUACUUGAAACAAGGCAGGGGCCAGGGACGGGUGCCCCCCAGGCUUAACUGACAGAGGGAGGGGAGAAACAGGCAAGCAUUUUCUUACUCCUGCCCAUCUGCUUUCUUUCUCAAGACUGCCUCCGACAGAUCGCCCAAGCACACUUGAAGCCUUUCACAGGGUGCCCUCAGGUGGCCUUUUGGGGAAUCACACCCAUCCAAUGGAUUAAACGAUUCUUGGCUGGUUCCAGCUAAGUUGCUAACCUGUGAGGCUGGCUGCCAUCAUUGCCAUUUUACUGAUAAAAUUGAGGCUCAGUGAGGCAGGAUGACUUGCUCCAGCUCAAAGUGACAGUCAGCUCCUGAACCUAGGUCUGCCCUGUCCUACUGCCUCUAAGUCCCUUCUGAGUCCACAGAACUACGUCUCAAAAAAUUGAAAUGGCAUCAAGCGUUUCCUUGGUUCCAAUCUUGAUCUGAUGCAUCUCUGUUAUUUCCUCCCAUGCAGGUGGUCAGACCCUGUUUGAACACUUCCAGCCGUGGGCAAAUCAUCACCUCACACAGCAUCCACUGACAUGCUGGCAGUGUUUGUGGGAAGAGAAGUAGUAAAGCCACUGAGACCAGAAGGUGGAACUUAGCUGGGAGUCUCUCCUUGGCCUGGGGGAGGUGAAAAGGCACAGAGCACUAAGACCCAGUCAUGUGCGGCAGCACCACGCAGAGGCCAGCCUGCAGGAUUUUCACGGGCAAAAUUUUGGUGGAUGCUUCCUCUCCUGCCUGGACGUGGGGGUGCUCAAAGCCUACCACUUCUAGGAACCUUUCUCAGGCCUCACGGGAGGAGUAAUGAAGGCAAAACCUUGGGCUGAGGUGCUGAUUCCUGCACUGUCUCCCCUUCCCCAGGCAGAUUUUCAAUUUACACCCGAAUGUGCAUAGGCCUCUGGCCCUUUAUUUAUUUGUUGGGAGAUGGAGUCUCGCUUUGUUGCCCAGGCUGGAGUGCAGUGGUGCAAUCUUGGCUCAAUGCAGCCUCCACCUGGGUUCAAGUGAUUCUCCUGCCUCAGCCUCCUGAGUAGCUAGGAUUACAGGCGUGCACCACCAUGCCUGGCUAAUUUUUGUAUCUGUAGUAGAGAAGGGGUUUUGCCAUGUUGGUCAGGCUGGUCUUGAACUCCUGACCUCAAGGGAUCCACCUGCCUUGGGCUCCCAAAGUAUUGGGAUUACGGGCGUGAGCCACCAUGCCCAGCCCACUGACCCUUUAGUAUCCAGAAAAGCAAGAACCCUGGCUGGGGAGUGCUGUGCUGGCCCUGCAGUGGAAGGCAGUAGCUGCCAACUUACUAUGUGCUGGGCGUUGUGCUGGCGCUUUUCACAUACAACUUCAAUUAACCCACAGGCUCCUAUAAGGUAGAAGCAACUACAUUUACAGAUGAGGAAGCUUGUAUCCAAGGUUAAGUAGUAAGUAGGGAAAAGCAGGAUUAAGCCAUAGGCCUUCGGAGCUUCGGGACUGCGUUCCAAACCAUCAUCUGCUGUGCCUCUUCAUGCCCCUGGGGCCCUGUGUCUUCAUCUUUGCUUAGGGGGCCAGGGAAGAUGCAAAUGUCGUCCUGGCCCCUGGGCCUCUGCUCCAAGCUCAUGACCACUCUUGGAUGUCCAUUGCAGGCUGGUACUGAGGCUCUGAAACACCAAGCCCUUCAAGCGUGAUGGAGGGAGCUGGUUUAUUAUUAAAUGGCAUUGUCCCCAAGGAGUGGCAACUCUCCACCUCUCCAUGAAAACACAACCUCCUAGAGAAGGUAUCUCUUUCCAACUACUGUGCCUUCAAUCUCCAACCUCAAUUGUUUCCCAUCAAGACAAUUUUUUUUUUUUUUGUAACAGGGUCUUACUUUGUCGCCCAGGCUGGCAUGCAGUGGCACAAUCAUGGCUCACUGCAGUCUUGACCUCCCUAGCUCAAGUGUGAUCUUCCCAUUCAGCCUCCUGAGUAGUUGGGACCACAAGCAUACACCACCAUGCUUGGGUAAAUUUUUUUUUUUUUAGAGAUGGGGUCUCACUAUAUUGCCCAGGCUGGUCUCAAACUCCUGGUCUAAGUGAUCCUCCUGCCUCAGCCUCCCAAAGUGGUGGGAUUACAGACAUGAGCCACUGUGAUUGACCUCUUUUUUUUUUUUUUGAGACAGUCUAACUCUGUUGCCCAGGCUGGAGUGCAGUGACACAAACUUGGCUCACUGCAACCUCUGCCUCCUGGGUUGGAGCAAUUCUCCUGCCUCAGCCUCCCAAGUAGUUGGGAUUACAGGUGCCUGCCACCAUGCCCGGCUAAUUUUUGUAUUUUUAGUAGAGACAGGGUUUCACUAUGUUGGCCAGGCUGGUAUCAAACUCCUGACCUUGUGAUCCGCCUGCCUCGGCCUCCCAAAGUGCUGGGAUUACAAGCGUGAGCCACUGCGCCCGGCCAGACCUCUUUUCUUUUUCUUUUUUUGCUAAUAAAACAGUUAAGACAAUUGUCCAUUUUAUUUGUUAAAUUGCUAAAAAGUCAUCAGGGGAAAACAUUAACAAAAAAU
rnacentral:lncRNA from 1 species